CUCAGGAUGAACGCUGGCGGUGUGCCUAAUACAUGCAAGUCGAGCGAGAAGUUUACUUCUAGCGGCGAACGGGUGAGUAACACGUAUUCAACCUGCCCAUCAGUCUGGGAUAACAUCGAGAAAUCGGUGCUAAUACCGGAUAGCAGAUACUUACAUAAGUAUAUAUCUCUAAAGGAGCGUUUGCUUCGCUGAUGAAUGGGGAUGCGCAGCAUUAGGUAGUUGGUGGGAUAACAGCCCACCAAGCCAACGAUGCUUAGCCGGCCUGAGAGGGUGAUCGGCCACACUGGAACUGAGACACGGUCCAGACUCCUACGGGAGGCAGCAGUAGGGAAUUUUCGACAAUGGGCGCAAGCCUGAUCGAGCAACACCGCGUGAGGGAUGAAGGAUUUCGGUCUGUAAACCUCUGUUAUAAGGGAAGAAAAGCAGGAUAGGAAAUGAUUCUGCCCUGACGGUACCUUAUCAGAAAGCGACGG
rnacentral:rRNA from 1 species